AAGUCGUAACAAGGUAUCUGUAGGUGAACCUGCAGAUGGAUCAUCUUUGUAUAAUCCAAGCCAGCCUCUCUUCUCUUCGGAGGAAAGGUUGGUCGAGAGGUGUCGCUCCGCACCUCUCUUGAAUAAACUAAAUUGGGCAAUCUUCUACAAACACGGUUGCAUCGGUCGGAGUCUCUGCUGUCCAACAGUGCGCCGCAAGGUCGCUGGGAAAAUGGCAGCGCUCCGACAAAACUUUAUACACACGCUAAUUUUUAGUCGUUGAAAAAUAAUCAUUUAUGAUUGACACGAUUCGGUAACACGAUCGUAUAAUCUAAAACACAACUUUUGGCAACGGAUCUCUUGGUUCUCC
rnacentral:misc_RNA from 1 species